GGUGGGCGACUCUAAGGAGACUGCCGGUGACAAACCGGAGGAAGGUGGGGAUGACGUCAAGUCAUCAUGGCCCUUACGGCCUGGGCUACACACGUGCUACAAUGGUCGGUACAAAGGGUUGCCAAGCCGCGAGGUGGAGCUAAUCCCAUAAAACCGAAUCGUAGUCCGGAUCGCAGUCUGCAACUCGACUGCGUGAAGUCGGAAUCGCUAGUAAUCGUGAAUCAGAAUGUCACGGUGAAUACGUUCCCGGGCCUU
rnacentral:rRNA from 1 species